GCCGCUGUAGCUCAGUUGGUAGAGCAGCGCAUUCGUAAUGCGAAGGUCGGCAGUUCGACUCCGCCCAGCGGCA
rnacentral:tRNA from 1 species